rnacentral:sRNA from 1 species
AAGCUUUGUUAGCGGUUUUGGAGUCAAAUAUAACGAGAUGUCAUGUGUAUGAUUGAGUAUAAGAACUAGAACCGUAACCAGAUCCCGGAAGCUAUAUUGGGAAAAAUGUCAGAAAAAGCACCAACUUUCAAAUUUGGGAUGAAAAAACCCUCAACUUUCAAUGCGUCAUUUUAAUCACAAAGUUUCUGUUGACUUUUACAGAAAACACCAAAGUUUUGUUGACCGGGACGAAUUAAGCACAUCGUUAAGUCUCCGUUUAACUGACGCAGACGGGGUUAAUUUCGCUGUUAACAGGCAUCGUUAGAUAAAACGACAGCGUCUUCGUAACCAUUAAACGU